GUAAACAGCAAAAAUGAUCAGCAAAGUAAGAUCUACAAAUAGGUUAAUAUGAACAAAAUUGUCAAUUGACCCUUAAGGGGUAAAUGUCCUUUAAUGACAAUUUUUCACAUGUUUGCCUGGCAUGGUUCAAUAUGUUCAAUAAGGCAUUGUUUACCAGGUGAGCGAUUCAGGCUCUUGAGAGCCUCUUGUUUCAUUUGUUUUUGGUCAUUAUCUUGAAUAUCAUUAUAGAUAAAGAUAAACUGUAAACAGCAAAAAUGAUCAGCAAA
rnacentral:lncRNA from 1 species